UCGGUCUGCCCUCGCUGCCAUAUAUUUAGGAGACCCCAGGCAGGUCUCCAGUACUUAGCUCACAGUUCUCAAAUGUCAAUAGAAUGAAGGAUCUCUGGGCUACUUUGCUCCCUGCCUCUGGAAACUUCUAGGAAUGAUGGCAAGAACACGAGAGGCCGUUGCAAUGGAGGAAAGAAUGUGGUGUAAAGAUACAACAAUACCAAAUACAUAUCCAUAUUUAAAGAUUUCUCGGAAUCGCCAGACUUCCCAUCAUACCUUCCCUGGGUCCUAUUGUCAACAUUUUCAGCUCCAUAUUAUUUCAUCAUCCAUAUUUUUUAUCUCUCCAUAUUGUCCAUAGUAGUUGUUACAUUACAAGUGUUAUUAGAAUCCUGCUAAUGUUUUCAUCUGCUU